UAAACUGUUGAUCGUCCUAUCAACAAAAUCGAUCAAUAAAAGAUCAGUCGAUCAUACAAUAGAGUUUAUAUUCUAAACAUUUGUAUGAGUGGGUUUGUGAAUGAUAUAUAGAUAUUUUAAGAGGAGUUUGUUUAUUUAGAGUGUUGGAUUGUGAUAAAAGGGAAGAGGAGGGGCAAUUUGGAGGAAGAAAGGAAAAAAAGAAAAUGUAGGGAGAAAAAGCAGAAGAUGUGAAAACCCCAGACAUGGGCAAAGGGAAAGGUCGCGGUCAGGGAUAGGGUGUCAUCACGAAUCCAACAAGUCUCUGUCCAUAUCAAUAAUGACACCAUCACACUCUGAACCAACCAACCCAUUUUCAUUUACUGCAUAAUAUUAUUAUUAACCUUUACAUUACAACAUUUUCAUUUCUCAUCAUCCCUUUCCUUCCAU
rnacentral:lncRNA from 1 species